rnacentral:rRNA from 1 species
AAUAGAUACCCCGGUAGUCCACGCCGUAAACGAUGAGUGCUAAGUGUUAGAGGGUUUCCGCCCUUUAGUGCUGCAGCAAACGCAUUAAGCACUCCGCCUGGGGAGUACGGUCGCAAGACUGAAACUCAAAGGAAUUGACGGGGGCCCGCACAAGCGGUGGAGCAUGUGGUUUAAUUCGAAGCAACGCGAAGAACCUUACCAGGUCUUGACAUCCUUCGCCACUUCUAGAGAUAGAAGGUUCCCCUUCGGGGGACGAAGUGACAGGUGGUGCAUGGUUGUCGUCAGCUCGUGUCGUGAGAUGUUGGGUUAAGUCCCGCAACGAGCGCAACCCUUGAUCUUAGUUGCCAGCAUUCAGUUGGGCACUCUAAGGUGACUGCCGGUGACAAACCGGAGGAAGGUGGGGAUGACGUCAAAUCAUCAUGCCCCUUAUGACCUGGGCUACACACGUGCUACAAUGGAUGGUACAAAGGGCUGCAAGACUGCGAAGUCAAGCCAAUCCCAUAAAACCAUUCUCAGUUCGGAUUGCAGG